rnacentral:rRNA from 1 species
UACGUAGGGGGCGAGCGUUGUCCGGAAUUAUUGGGCGUAAAGAGCGUGUAGGCGGUUCGGUAAGUCUGCCGUGAAAACCUGGGGUUCAACCCCGGGCGUGCGGUGGAUACUGCCGGGCUAGAGGGUGGUAGAGGCGAGUGGAAUUCCCGGUGUAGCGGUGAAAUGCGCAGAUAUCGGGAAGAACACCCGUGGCGAAGGCGGCUCUCUGGGACGGUACUGACGCUGAGACGCGAAAGCGUGGGGAGCGAACAGG